CCUACGGGAGGCAGCAGUGGGGAAUAUUGGGCAAUGGGCGCAAGCCUGACCCAGCAACGCCGCGUGAAGGAUGAAGGUUUUCGGAUUGUAAACUUCUGUCGCGAGGGACGACGAAUGACGGUACCUCGUAAGAAAGCCCCGGCUAACUACGUGCCCGCAGCCGCGGUAAUCCGUAGGGGGCAAGCGUUGUCCGGAAUUACUGGGGGUAAAGGGUGUGUAGGCGGCCUUGUAAGUUCGAUGUGAAAGUUUGCGGCUCAACCGUAAAAUUGCAAUUGAUAUUGGCAGUCUAGAGUACAGUUGAGGUAAGCGGAAUUCGUGGUGUAGCGGUGAAAUGCUUAGAUAUAACGAAGAACCCCGAUUGCGAAGGCAGCUUACUAAACUGUGACUGACAUUGAGGCUCGAAAGUGUGGGUAUCAAACAGGAUUAGAUACCCGUGUAGUC
rnacentral:rRNA from 1 species